rnacentral:rRNA from 1 species
UACGUAGGGGGCGAGCGUUGUCCGGAAUUACUGGGCGUACAGAGCUCGUAGGUGGUUUGUCGCGUUGUUCGUGAAAACUCACAGCUCAACUGUGGGCGUGCGGGCGAUACGGGCAGACUGGAGUACUGCAGGGGAGACUGGAAUUCCUGGUGUAGCGGUGGAAUGCGCAGAUAUCAGGAGGAACACCGGUGGCGAAGGCGGGUCUCUGGGCAGUAACUGACGCUGAGGAGCGAAAGCGUGGGGAGCGAACAGG